rnacentral:lncRNA from 1 species
CCUACCUCCCAACAGCUCCAAUAUGGGGCCACAGCCUUCCACACCUGGGCCUUCGGGAGAUGCUCAGAACCCAGCCUACAGCACACCCUCCCCACGGUCAUUUCAGAGUUCGAGGUGCACUAUCUGGAGCUUGGGAAGGACAGGAAGAUGACAAUGAGCUGAGCUGUGGCCAACGCUCAGUCCAGGGAGCACCCUCUGCUCCUCUGUUUGAGCUGAUGAAGCCCCCCAACGUUGACUUGGCUGCUAAGACUGAUUUCCCCAGACCCAUGAAGAAAGGCCCCAGCCCUGAGUGGCUCCCUGCUUUGGAAAAUAACGUCAGUGACAACCCUGUGCAGGCACAGUCCAGGGAAGAGAGGCUCUGGGGUUGGCAUGCCCCUGCCCUCCCUGGGCCUUUCUGCAAGACAGCCAUGUGGACUCACCUCCAGAAACUGGCAAACGUGCAGACAGGCCCUCCAGGUCGUUCCUGGGCUCCACAGCCACCCGGCCGACAAAAG